CACGUAGGGCGCAAGCGUUGUCCGGAAUUAUUGGGCGUAAAGGGCUCGUAGGCGGCCAACUAAGUCAUACGUGAAAUCCCUCGGCUUAACCGGGGAACUGCGUCUGAUACUGGAUGGCUUGAGGUUGGGAGAGGGAUGCGGAAUUCCAGGUGUAGCGGUGAAAUGCGUAGAUAUCUGGAGGAACACCGGUGGCGAAGGCGGCAUCCUGGACCAAUUCUGACACUGAGGAGCGAAAGCCAGGGAGCAAACGGG
rnacentral:rRNA from 1 species